CAGUCGCCGCGGUAAUACAGAGGGUGCGAGCGUUAAUCGGAUUUACUGGGCGUAAAGCGUGCGUAGGCGGCUUCUUAAGUCGGAUGUGAAAUCCCUGAGCUUAACUUAGGAAUUGCAUUCGAUACUGGGAAGCUAGAGUAUGGGAGAGGAUGGUAGAAUUCCAGGUGUAGCGGUGAAAUGCGUAGAGAUCUGGAGGUAUACCGAUGGCGAAGGCAGCCAUCUGGCCUAAUACUGACGCUGAGGUACGAAAGCAUGGGGAGCAAACAGGAUUAGAUACCCCUGUAGUCCCUGUCUCUUAUAC
rnacentral:rRNA from 1 species